CGGAGCAUGUGGUUUAAUUCGAAGCAACGCGAAGAACCUUACCAGGGCUUGACAUGCCGCUGACCGGUGCAGAGAUGCAUCUUUAUCCUUCGGGGUACAGCGGACACAGGUGGUGCAUGGUUGUCGUCAGCUCGUGUCGUGAGAUGUUGGGUUAAGUCCCGCAACGAGCGCAACCCUUGUCUUUAGUUGCCAUCAUUAAGUUGGGCACUCUAAAGAGACUGCCGAUGACAAAUCGGAGGAAGGUGGGGAUGACGUCAAAUCAUCAUGCCCUUUAUGUCCUGGGCUACACACGUGCUACAAUGGUCGGUACAACGAGAAGCAAGUCAGCGAUGGCAAGCAAAUCUCUAAAAGCCGAUCCCAGUUCGGAUUGCAGGCUGCAACUCGCCUGCAUGAAGUCGGAGUUGCUAGUAAUCGCGGAUCAGAAUGCCGCGGUGAAUGCGUUCCCGGGUCUU
rnacentral:rRNA from 2 species